GACGAACGCUGGCGGCGUGCUUAACACAUGCAAGUCGAACGGAAAGGCCCUGCUUUUGUGGGGUGCUCGAGUGGCGAACGGGUGAGUAACACGUGAGUAACCUGCCCUUGACUUUGGGAUAACUUCAGGAAACUGGGGCUAAUACCGGAUAGGAGCUCCUGCUGCAUGGGGGGGGUUGGAAAGUUUCGGCGGUUGGGGAUGGACUCGCGGCUUAUCAGCUUGUUGGUGGGGUAGUGGCUUACAAAGGCUUUGACGGGUAGGCGGCCUGAGAGGGUGACCGGCCACAUUGGGACUGCGAUACGGCCCAGACUCCUACGGGAGGCAGCAGUCGGGAAUAUUGCACAAUGGGCGGAAGCCUGAUGCAGCAACGCCGCGUGCGGGAUGACGGCCUUCGGGUUGUAAACCGCUUUCGCCUGUGACGAAGCGUGAGUGACGGUAAUGGGUAAAGAAGCACCGGCUAACUACGUG
rnacentral:rRNA from 1 species